GAUGGGCAGAAUCAACAUUGUUAAAAUGUGUAUACUAUCCAAAGUGAUCUACAGAUUCAAUGCAAUCCCCCUUUCUUUUUGGCAGUGCGUGGUGGCAAGAUGGUGGUACAGAUCUCCAAAAAGAGGAAGUCUGUCGCUGAUGGCAUCUUCAAAGCUGGACUGAAUGAGUUUCUUAUCGGGAGCUGGCUGAAGAUGGUGGCUACUCUGAAGUUGAGGUCCGAGUUACACCAACCAGGACAGAAAUCAUUAUCUUCGUCACCAGAGCACAGAAUGUUCUUGGUGAGAAGAGCCAGCACAUUUGGGAAUUGACCACAGUAGUUCAGAAGAGAUUUGGCUUCCCAGAGGAAGAGCUUUAUGCUGAAAGGGUAGCCAUGAGAGGUCUGUGUGCCACUGCUCAGGCAGAAUCUCUGUGUUACAAAUUCCUUGGAGGGCUUGCUGUGCAGAGAGCUUGCUAUGGUGUGCUGCGGUUCAUCAUGGAGAGUGCAGCCCAGGGCUGUGAGGUCGUGGUGUCUGGGAAACUCCGAGGACAGAGGGCUAAGUCCAUGAAGUUUGUGGAUGGCCUGAUGAUUCACAGUGGGGACCCUGUUAACUAUUACAUUGACACUGCCAUGCGCCAUGUGCUGCUCAGACAGGGUGUGCUGGGCAUCAAGGUGAAGAUCAUGCUACCCUGGGACCCUACUGGUAAGACUGGCCCUGAGAAACCUUUGCCUGACCACGUGAGCAUCGUGGAACCCAAAGACGAGAUACUGCCUACCACUCCCAUCUCAGAACAGAAGGGUAGGAAGCCAGAGCCGCCUGCCAUGCCCCAGCCAGUCCCCAUGGCAUAACAGGGUCUCCUUGGCAGCUGUAUCUGGAGUCUGGAUGUUCCUCUGUAAAGACAUUUAAUAAAGUCUUGUACAAAGACACAAGGCG